GGCCUCUGUGGCGCAAUGGAAAGCGCGUUGGACUUCUAAUUCAAAGGUUGUGGGUUCGAGUCCCACCAGAGUCG